rnacentral:rRNA from 1 species
UACGUAGGGUGCAAGCGUUGUCCGGAAUUAUUGGGCGUAAAGAGCUCGUAGGCGGUGUGUCGCGUCGGCCGUGAAAACCUGCAGCUUAACUGUGGGCUUGCGGUCGAUACGGGCAUAACUGGAGUUCGGCAGGGGAGACUGGAAUUCCUGGUGUAGCGGUGAAAUGCGCAGAUAUCAGGAGGAACACCGGUGGCGAAGGCGGGUCUCUGGGCCGAUACUGACGCUGAGGAGCGAAAGCGUGGGGAGCGAACAGG